rnacentral:lncRNA from 1 species
GUGUCGUGAAGCAGCAUCAUCGUCCGGAAGGCCUCCAGAUGAUCAACCGGGUCCGAAGUCCCAUCGUAGCUUUCGAACUGGGGAAGCUUGAAGUUUGGCGGGAUCGGUUCUUGCAUGAUCAUUUGGGAGAAGGGAGGGUCAGUGCAAAUAUCCUCACCAUAAGUGGGGGGUGCGUGGCGGAGUUCUUCAAUCCGCCGGUUCAUCUCCUGGAGCCUCCGGUCCAGGAAAUCCUCUCGACUUCGAGUCUCGAGGGUCCUUUGGUAGAACGGGGG